UUAAGUUCAGCGGGUAGUCCUACCUGAUUUGAGAUCAAACGUUCAAAAGGAGCCAUUCCUCACUGAGGAGAGGCCUUUAUGAGCCCCAGCGAACCUCCAUUGCUGAAGGUUACUUGAUGGAAAACCACAAGCGUAGAUAGUUAUCACACCUGCGAUGCCACCAAACACUGGCAAGCUGAUUCAUUUAAGAGGAGCUGGCC
rnacentral:misc_RNA from 1 species